AUUGAACGCUGGCGGGAUGCUUUACACAUGCAAGUCGAACGAGUGGCGGACGGAUGAGUAAUAUAUCGGAACGUGCCCAGUAGAGGGGGAUAACUACUCGAAAGUGUGGCUAAUACCGCAUUCUUUUGGAGCGGCCGAUAUUGGAUUAGCUAGUUGGUGGGGGAAAGGCUCACCAAGGCAACGAUCCGUAGCUGGUUUGAGAGGAGGAUCAGCCACACUGGAACUGAGACACGGCCCAGACUCCUACGGGAGGCAGCAGUGGGGAAUUUUGGACAAUGGGGGAAACCCUGAUCCAGCCAUCCCGCGUGUAUGAGAAGGCCUUCGGGUUGUAAAGUACUUUUGGUAGGGAGGCGGUAUCUGCAGAAUAAGCACCGGCUAACUACGUGCCAGCAGCCGCGGUAAUAC
rnacentral:rRNA from 1 species